UGCCACCUUAUCGUGGUGGAGGGGUUUGAGUGUCCCAGUGAUCCUAGGAGCUGUCAGAGGCUUCAUGCCUCUAGUUGGGUCAGGUCUGCUCUGCCAAACGGGUCCUAGGUGAGGGAUCGGACCAAGAGCAGCCCAGAGACAGCUUAGAAAUGUAAAGAGUAUUCCUUAGAGAUAGAGCUAUAGACAGAAGUCAGGAUUUCCCCGCCUGGCUGGCCACCAGGCUUUAUUUUCCUCCCAACAGGCUAUGGGUUAUUUUAAAUGGGACUUUUUCUACAGCAGUAACUUUAAAGACAGAUUAAGCUAAAGGUUUAUAGUUGAGGCAUUGAACUGACUUAGGAGUUGUGAACCAGUUGUGCCGUCCCAUCAGUUGCCUGCUGGCUUCACACGCUGUUAUUUCUGAGUUAUGAUGCCUGAUCCUGCUCCAUUUUAACCCAAACGCACAGCGGGCCGCUGAUGGACGACUCCAGCAGCUCUUCCACCGGGAUCAGCAGGUUUUCUGGAGGAAACCCUGGAAGUGUUCCCAGAGUAAAAGGAGAGUUUCAUCAUGUGUCCCACAGCAGCUUGACCCAAUCAGACUCCGGUACCGUCAGUAAUGAGCCAAACGGGUUGUAGUCACUUCGCUACAACCUGCUCAUCUGGAGCGCCGCUGCUGUGGGAGAUUUGAGAUCAAACAGCCUAACGACGGCCUCAACUGUUCAGGUUGAGUCGCUACGUCACACUGAGCCGAUGGAGGCUGGAAGAGAGGAGAGCUUCUCCUGCUUCUCCUGAUGGGCAGAUCUGAGGGAACAAAACGAGGAUUUAACUGUUUUGCUUCUGGGUCUGCUUCCAGACCCAGAUGAACGGCUAAACCACAUCUGAAUCAGUCCUGGUUCCCUCCAUCUGUCCAUCCUGGUUCCUUCCAUUUAUCCGUACAUCCUGGUUCCCUCCUGUUUCCCUCCAUCCAUCUUGGUUUCCUUCAGCUCCUCGGAGUUGUGUGACCAUUUGGAUUUUCUUUUUUUAACAGGGUUUCAGAAUCUUUUCAAAUAAAAAUUAAUAAAACCAAAACCACACAGUUGUUUUUUGUUGUUGUUGUUUUUAGCGUGAAACAUGUUUCAAUUUAACUUGGAUGUGGAGAAAUCAGCUGCUUACAAGAUCUUGAUGUCAUCUGGGCUUUGAAAGACAUGACAGUCUUGGUGUAUGCAAAUUUCUGAAUUUGGAAGAAAGUCAGGAAAUUCUCAUUCUGGUAUUUAGAAAAUGGAAAUAACUGGGCUAAAGCAGGAACAGCUUAUUCUGGUUAAAACAUGGCAAUGGAAAAAAUUUCUUUUUCUACAACAUAUGUAAAUAUCUGGUUUCAGAUGUUUUAACUGCAAAAAUAAGUCAAAAUGCAGAGGUUUGUCUGCUAUGUUAAGUAAAUGUUUUAAAAGUUAAAUGAAACUUUUCUAAAUUUGGUCAUAAAAAGCAUUAAAUUCCUAUGUGGCAAGUCAAUAUCCUGCAGUCAAUAGAUGCAGCAUGAGGUCUGUGUGUUUCUCAGGGAUAUAAAAAGCAUUGAUCCCUGUUGAACAAGGAAUCUGCUUCAUUGGGUCAGAGGUCAAGUUCAUACUACUGCAGAGGAGAUUAGACUAGAGUCCAGCUGAGAAAAUCUGAGUAUUUGCUAAAGGAGUCUGUCUCCUCCUUGUGUCUUGUCAGAUUUAAUUUCCUUAACUGCUGUGGUUAGAGAACCAUUCACAAGGUCAAAGAAAGAGAAAAGGACACAUUUAGAGUCAUAAUUAAACUCAAAAUGAUGCAAGAUCUAAUUAUUACAACUGGAAUAAAAGACCUUAACUGCAGUAACAUGAAUAUAAAAUCUGGGCAAUUGAAAUUUAUCCACGUUUUAAUAACGGGAACUUCUUAAUUAUUCAUCUCAAAAUGACUUAAUGAAUCAAAGUAUCAACACCAAAUCACUGAGUAGAUUUAAAACCUGUAAAACAACUCCCCAUAUUUACACCAACUGCACAAGGGCAAAUACUACCAACAGGACGACGAGUACACCCCCUGGUUAGAGAGUAAGCGGUACAUUGCGUCCUCUCCUGCAUAUGCCACUACCAGGUCAAAGCCUGCAACUCUUUAUGCUGGACAGAUCAUGUGUCAGGAGGAAUCCAGUGUAUGAGCUGCAGACCCAAACCUUAAAGAGGCUUAUUUAGCUGUAGCAUCUUGCUAAGAUCUAAAGACACCAUAUAUCUUGGCUGCGACAGGAAAUAAUUUGUGUAUCGUAUUUGUAAAUUGUCAAUCAGCUCAAGGACACAAAGUCCUCCGUCACAACAGUCCGAGGCAGACAGAGCACGGCAAGAGAUCAAAGUAUAUUUAGCAAGUUGUAGUAAUCCAACCCCUCCUGCAUGUAAUCCUAGUAGUUCCUCUGCAGCAAGUUCAAACGUCCGACUCCCAGACUACCUGCCUAUCACUUUUCUGCAAGUGUGACUUGAAAUAUUGUCAGCACCUCAACUUUCUUAGCUGAUUUUGGCUCACCCCCAACUACAACCUGCAGUUCUAAGCUUACAGCUCUCUCAAGGGGCUGCCAACCUGGAAACCAUUCAUGCAUGACAUUAGAGUUAGAAACCAGGUAGGAGGUUCACGCAGUAGGUUGCCUUUAUUUCUCAUAUUCUGGCAAAGUUCUUGAAGUCAGGGAAUGAAAUUCUCGUGAGGGGCAAAACAAAAAAAGGAAAAGAAUGGGCCAAAAAAAAC